rnacentral:rRNA from 1 species
UGGGGAAUUUUGGACAAUGGGGGAAACCCUGAUCCAGCCAUCCCGCGUGUGCGAUGAAGGCCUUCGGGUUGUAAAGCACUUUUGGCAGGAAAGAAACGUCGCGGGUUAAUACCCCGCGGAACUGACGGUACCUGCAGAAUAAGCACCGGCUAACUACGUGCCAGCAGCCGCGGUAAUACGUAGGGUGCAAGCGUUAAUCGGAAUUACUGGGCGUAAAGCGUGCGCAGGCGGUUCGGAAAGAAAGAUGUGAAAUCCCAGAGCUUAACUUUGGAACUGCAUUUUUAACUACCGGGCUAGAGUNUGUCAGAGGGAGGUGGAAUUCCGCGUGUAGCAGUGAAAUGCGUAGAUAUGCGGAGGAACACCGAUGGCGAAAGGCAGCCUCCUGGGAUAACACUGACGCUCAUGCACGAAAGCGUGGGGAGCAAACA